rnacentral:rRNA from 1 species
GACGAACGCUGGCGGCGUGCUUAACACAUGCAAGUCGAACGGAAAGGCCCUGCUUUUGUGGGGUGCUCGAGUGGCGAACGGGUGAGUAACACGUGAGUAACCUGCCCUUGACUUUGGGAUAACUUCAGGAAACUGGGGCUAAUAACGGAUAGGAGCUCCUGCUGCAUGGUGGGGGUUGGAAAGUUUCGGCGGGUGGGGAUGGACUCGCGGCUUAUCAGCUUGUUGGUGGGGUAGUGGCUUACCAAGGCUUUGACGGGUAGCCGGCCUGAGAGGGUGACCGGCCACAUUGGGACUGAGAGACGGCCCAGACUCCUACGGGAGGCAGCAGUGGGGAAUAUUGCACAAUGGGCGGAAGCCUGAUGCGGCAACGCCGCGUGCGGGAUGACGGCCUUCGGGUUGUAAACCGCUUUCGCCUGUGACGAAGCGUGAGUGACGGUAAUGGGUAAAGAAGCACCGGCUAACUACGUG